GGACAUUACCGAGUUUACAACUCCCAAACCCCUGUGAACAUACCUAUACGUUGCCUCGGCGGAUCAGCCCGCGCCCUGUAAAAAGGGACGGCCCGCCCGAGGACCCUAAACUCUGUUUUUAGUGGAACUUCUGAGUAAAACAAACAAAUAAAUCAAAACUUUCAACAACGGAUCUCUUGGUUCUGGCAUCGAUGAAGAACGCAGCAAAAUGCGAUAAGUAAUGUGAAUUGCAGAAUUCAGUGAAUCAUCGAAUCUUUGAACGCACAUUGCGCCCGCCAGUAUUCUGGCGGGCAUGCCUGUUCGAGCGUCAUUUCAACCCUCAAGCUCAGCUUGGUGUUGGGACUCGCGGUAACCCGCGUUCCCCAAAUCGAUUGGCGGUCACGUCGAGCUUCCAUAGCGUAGUAAUCAUACACCUCGUUACUGGUAAUCGUCGCGGCCACGCCGUAAAACCCCAACUUCUGAAUGUUGACCUCGGAUCAGGUAGGAAUACCCGCUGAACUUAAGCAUAUCAAUAAGCGGAGGGAAAAAAC
rnacentral:rRNA from 1 species